AAAAGAAAACAAAAAUUUCUGAAGACUUUAUCACUCCCCCAAACAGAUAAGUUCUUUCUAUUUUAUUUCUUCCCUGUGUGUUUUAUCAUAAUCAUGAUUUUCUAAAUAUACAGUUUUCAGUUUCCAUUCAGUAAUUUUCACUACAAUAAAUAAUUAUAAAUACAUGAUUUAAAUACUUGCAUAAUAUUUCAUCAGAUAUAUGUCACAUUAUUUACUUAAUUUUCUGUUAGAUAUUUAGGUACUUUGUAAUUUUUUAUGGAUGACUAUAUCUGCAAAAAAUAUCUAGAUACAUAGAUUUUUAUGUAUAUGCAUGAGCACAAACUUUUAAGUACAAACUAUAAAAUCAUAUCCUCUGAAUAAAUAUAUCAAUCUACAUUUCUUCCAACAAUGUGUUUUAUUCCAUCAUUCUGGUUUCAAUAAUUAUUAUGACCAUUUUCUACAUUUUGUCAAUUUUUUUUUUGCUUUUUAGAGCCACACCAGCAGUAUAUGGAGAUUCCCAGGCUAGGGGUCCAAUUGAAGAUACAGCUGCCAGCCUAUGCCACAGCCACAGCAAUGCAGGAUCCUUAACGCACCGAGCGAGGCCAGGGAUUGAACCUGCAACGUCAUGGAUCCGAGUCGGGGUCGUAAACUGCUGAGCCACAAGGGAAUCUCCAAAAGUUGAUUAUUCAAAUGAUUACCAUCACAUUAUGUGAAAAUGAUUUAAUACUAGUGAUGUUUAGAAAACAUAUGCACUUAGGAUUUUUGAUUAAAUUUUCCUCCUAAUUACAAUUAAAAGAAACUGGAAGUUAUAGUAUAUUCAUAAUGUAUGUGUUUAGUUGGUAAAGACUGCAUGGAACUCUAUAAUCAGCAGACUCUGGACAAAAGAAAACUUUAGCUAUAAACUGAAGAAAAAAAACUAUAAUAUACAUUUAUAUGAUUUAUGUCAAUGCAAUUGCCUAAUAUGUGCAAACAUAAUUGUUUGUGGUUUUCUGCCUUAUUUUACAGUUUAUUUUUAACUAACCAAAGUGUUUGAUAGUAAGAUUAUUAUUGUAAUUAAAUGAUUAUAAGCAUGAGGAUAAGACAGAAUUAUGAAAUAUUUUCCCCCAGGAAAUAUGAUUUGCUUUCUGGUGUAAUUUUUGGCAGGUUUCCUCAGACUAGUUUAAAUUUCCACCUCUGAUAAAUAGGAAUAUCCUAGGCUGCAUUUUAUUUUUUAUUUUUAUUUUUUCUUUCUUUUUUUUAAUUAUUAUUUUGUCUUUUUUUUUUUUUUUUUUUAGUCCUGCACCCAUGGCAUAUGGAGGUUCCCAGGCUAGGGGUCGAAUUGAAGCUGUAGUGGCUGGCCUACACCACAGUUACAGCAACUCGGGAUCCGAGCCGCAUCUGCAACCUACGCCAUAGCUCACCGCAAUGACAGAUCCUUAACACACUGGGCGAAGCCAGGGAUUGAACCUGCAUCAUCUUGGAUCCUGGUCGGGUUUGUUAACCACUGAGCCAUAAUGGGAACCCAAGGCUGCAUUUUACAAAGGUGAAAUCUCCACUACUUAAACGCCUCUAGAGAAGAUUUGCCAGGACCACAUUAAUUAUUUUUUGUCUUCUCCAAGUAAACACACACACACAUCUCCACAUCAGGAAACUAGUAGAUAUUUUCAUUUUUAAAUAUUAUUAUUUAAAGCAUCGCUCUCUUUCUCCCCCUCCUACAUUUACUUUUUUUUAUUUUAGGGCCACUCCAGGGCUAUGGAAGUUCCCAGACUAGGGUUCAAAUAGGAGCUGCAGCUGCCAGUCUACGCCAUAGACACAAAAAUGCCAGAUUUGAGCUAUGUUUAUGAUCUACACUACAGCUUGUGACAAAGCCAGAUCUUUAAACCACUGAGAGAGGCCUGGAAUCAAACCCACAUUCUCUUGGAUACUAGUGAGUUUGCUUCCACUGAGCCACAACAGAAACUCCUAAAAACUCUUUUUAGAAGGAGUUUAAAGGAGUCCAUGAGUUUAUUUUCUGUGGAAAGGUUCAUUUGUGCCAUAUAUUAGAUUAGAUGUGAUAUCACAUGGUAUUUGUCUUUCUCUUUCUGACUUAUUUCACUCAGUAUGAGAGUCUCUAGUUCCAUCCAUGUUGCUGCAAAUGGCAUUAUUUCAUUCUUUUUUAAUGGCUGAGUAUUAUUCUAUUGUGUAUCUAUACCACGUCUUCCUAAUCCAGUCAUCUGUCCAUAGACAUUUGGGUUGUUUCUAUGUCUUGGCUAUUGUGAAUAGUGCUGCAAUGAACAUGCAGGUGCAUGUGUCUUUUUCAAGAAGGUUUUGUCCGGAUAUAUGCCCAAGAGUGGGAUUGCUGGUCCUAUGGUAGUUCUAUUUAUAUUUUUCUAAGGUACCUCCAUACUGUUCUUCAUAGUGGUUGUACCAGCUUACAUUCCCACCAACAGUGCAGUACAGUAGAAAAAAAAAAUUGUAUUGGGAAAUAACAACAACCAAAAAAAUGUAGAAGGAGGAUGGAGUUCCUGUUGCAGUUCAGUGGAAACAAACCCACUAGUAUCCAUGAAGAUAUGGGUUCCAUACCUGGCCUCACUCAGUGGGUUAAGGUUCUGGAGUUGCUGGGAGCUAUGGUUGUAGGCCACAGAUGUGGCUCAGGUCUGGCGUUGCUGUGGCUACAGUGUAAGUCUGCAGCUGGAGCUCUAAUUCAACCCCUAACCUGAAAACUUCCGUAUGCAACCUGAGGCCCUAUAAAUAAAUAAAUAGCAUUUUUAUAAAGAACAAUCAAUUGUAUAAUUAUUGAAUUAUUGGUUUGUUUCCCAAACCUAGAUAAUGUAUUUAUAUAUAUCUUUGUUGUAUUUUACUUAUUCACAUAAACUUUUUUUUGCCCCUUUAGUUGCUGGGUUUUGCUUAGAUGAUAGAAAUAUAUUUAAGUUUGAUCCCAUUUAAGGAAACUUCGCUUUUACCUUUACUUCAGCCAUGUAGUUCGGUGCAGCACAUAAUGUUUGUUAUAGUAGAUUCUGUGGGUGCAGAAAGGAUCAGAUUGUAAACGUUUUGAAGCAGCAAUGGCUUAGCACAAAGUGUGGAACAUGCUUUGAAUUCUAUACGGUGAUAUACUGUAUCUCUACCGAACUGUCAGGGUGAAGAAAAGGAGUAUUGCAACUGUUAUAAACAUAUCACAUACAGACAUUUAUUCAGACAAAUAGAGAUGUAGCUAGGUGUCAUUUUAAAGUUCAACUAUUUAUGCUUUUGGCAGAUAGUUGAAAAUAGGAUGCGUUUGUAGCAUGGAGCUUCAAAAAUAUAAAAACAACCAACAGUAUGUUGCCAAUGGUCAGUGUCUCAGGAGUAAACAUGUGCAAUAAUAAUAGUUCUCAUUAUUUUUUAUUUCAUUUUAAUCUUAUUCAUAAAAGCUAGAGCAGCUAAGAAGAAACUAGGCUUGUUUCAUUGUGAAGAUUUUUUUAACUCUGUUUUUUUCAUUUUCUCAUUUUCUGACUUAUUCUUGUGGGAAAUGCAAUGUCUUUUUUUUUUUUAACUGCCAAAUUUGCACAGUAUAUCUCAGAGAAGGAAAAAUAAUAAUUUCCAAAGAAGAUAAUGGAAGUUGACUCUAUAUGUGUAUUUACAUUUGUAUAUAUAACAUCGGUAUAACACGUAUAUUUACAUAAAAAUAUGUGAGAAAUGUGAGAAACUGAGAUGAACCUUGCAAUAGUGUCAUUUUUCUGCUUGGAGUAGCUUUUCUGAUUGUGGGACAGGAUAAAGAGCUGGAGUCCCAUUAAAGUGUGGUGACCUCACCUUGUCGAUGAGGCUAGGAGAAGAGUUUGACAAUGAUGAGGUGGUUGGGAUUUGUCAUGAAGGCUACAGAAACACAGACAAGGACUCUGCCUAGGGGUUCUCUUACGUCUUUUGCCAAAGACUGAGCUGUUCUGCACUUGCCCUGGAUAAUAUUCUGCAAAAUUUUGCCC
rnacentral:lncRNA from 1 species